rnacentral:lncRNA from 1 species
UCUUUCUCUUUCACUUUUUCUCUUAUUUCCUUUUCUUUUCUCUCUUUUCUUUUUCUCCUUCCUUUCUUCUCUUUCUCUCUCUCCACGUUUCUUCUCCUCUCACUCACAGAUUUCUGUUUUCUCUUUUUCUCCACUCUCUUUCCUAUUCUCUUACCACAUCACUUCAACACACAGAAAAAUAAUAAUAAAAUAUUUUCUCAUUUCUCACUAAAGAGCAAACCGCCCUUCCUCUCUAUAAUAUCCCACCUCAUCUUUUUAU